AAAGAACAUUACAUUAGUUGGAAAAGAAUCCUUGAGGUGUACAGACGCUACACACCUCCUCUGCACUACACAUCGCUGGGACCCCUUGAUGAAACAAAAUCUCUGAUCCAGAUGGGUGGCCGCAGAAGAAUGGUGCAGUACUAAUUGGUAUAGCUGGACAUAACGUCCGACUGAUCGACAGAAAACUGCCAGUUCCAUAUUCCAGCGAUGGAUUGCCCACCUUCUUUAAGGCUGUGAUAGACAUGUCUAUCAUGAUCCAUCCCCACUCCUGCCUUCUCCAUGUCAUUGCCCAUUGGAGGACAGCCCAACCGGGAGUGUUCAAAGGACAGGCAAUGCGGUGGCCGGCGAGUCACGACAGCUGUGCUAUGUGAAUAUUCCCCCCUGAAUUCAAGAAGUCCACAGGGCGAGUUGUGGGCAGGAAAAACAAGUAAGCCACGGGAAGAAAUGGAACAGAGGCCAGUGGCAGAGAGAACAGCACUGAGCUGAGCAGUGCCCAGUGAGACUCUGCUGUGGUUGCAGCUCCUCCAGUAUCUCAAGCUAGCACGUACACACAAAUGCAGUAACACGCACACACAUAGGCAGGGAGUGUUGCCGAUAAAGUUCUCCUGCUCAGCUGUUGCCAUUCAUUCAAUGCUACAGGCAGAGGAAGGCUACCCCUCACAUACUAAUACAGAAGUGCUUACAGACAAGAAUCUAACAAUUUGGCUAUUAAACACAGAAUAAUCGAAAAACAUUUUUUCUAAUUGAAAACUGACAAAAAUCUUUCAAACUUGGCUGACCCCACAGAUUGUUUAUAAAGGUGAUAGCAAUGAAUCAGACAUUUGUUUUAUUUCUUUGAGUUGUAUUUUUUUUUUUUUUUUUUUUUUAGAACUGGGACAACAAUGGGGAAAAAGGAGUUGUGUUUCACUGACAAACAGUCCGCAGGUUUUGCUGAAUGCUGACGGUAAAUUGCCCCCCUCCCCGCCCCUGUACUCUACACCCUCCACUCCAUUUUAAAUAGCAUGUCCAGCUGGCAGUAAGGAGGUACUAUAUUCAGCAUGGGAUCACCUGUGCACUCAUCGGGUAAGGUUACUUUCAGGAAAAAACAAAAUCUGAAAGCCCAAUAUUUCAGAAUAAAUAAAUGUUUAAUAAGACAAAAUCCUGCUUCUAUUCCAUAUUCUCUACUUUUCAAGCAACACAGAAGAGCCUGUUCUUGAAUAAAACAUUACUGCCGGUAUCUAACACAUGCAGACAUAACAGGACGAGUACAGUCGGCCACAAUAUUAUCACACAGGUGACUCAAAACAUCCGUUCUGCCUCAAUGCCAGAAAAAAGGCCUUCAUCCAGAACAAACAGUGGUCUGGGACGAGAAUAACUCAACAAGGAGGCAAUGAUUGAAGUCCAGCUGCUCCCAGUCAGACUAAUUCAGAGUCUGGAUAGCGGACAGACAAAGGGAUGACAACAGACAUGGGGAUUAGGAAGUAGUUGUGUGGGCGGAGCAAUGUUAAACAACACAGCAUUCAAUGAUUGUGUCACGAAGCGACAAUUAAUAACUGAUUUAAUUAAGUCUGUGUUGCGCGGAUGAUUCCUAUUAUGAAUUCAACAGAGGAGUUUCUUUGCUUUGUGCCGCAGAAAAGCUCUAUUUCCCAUGUUCCACUGGCAAAAUCAGGUACUAACAGAAACCAUUUCUAGCAUCUGGUCAGGUAUUGUUUUAGACCUUCUAAAAUACUGCCA